CUGCCAUCUUUCCAGAAUCCUUCUCCAUAGAAUUAUAUAGAGAAAAAUAUUGCUGUUUACUACAAGAAAAGCAACCUGGGCAGUUUUUUAAUCUAUCAGUAACCCCCAUCAUCCUCAUCAUUACCAUGGCUUGCAUCUAUCUGCUUCCUGUAUCUUCUAACCUAGGAGAAGAUCGCAGGGGCAUCAAGCCUUUAACUCCAGUGAUGUGGAAGGGAUAACUGCAGCAAGGAUCAAAUGUGAUUAGCCUUGGAAUAAGACUGGUUGCAGUUGAGGAACGACGUGUGAAAAUGACCUUUCCCUGGUGUCCCCCUACUUGAGAAGGGCUACCUGCCAAAACCAGGAGACUGGACCAGUACUUCAGGUGCCCCAGAACUUAAAAUACUGCAUACAAAUGUUUGUUUCCUGAAGUAAGAACUUCAGGAAUUAAAGUACUGUAACUAAAACAAUAAUAGUAAUGAUAAGAGUCAAAAAUUUUAAGGGAUCUCUAUUAUUACUGGUGUUAGUAUUCCCUUUAACAAAGCAGAUCAGAAUUCAUACAUGGCUGCACCCCUUGUGUUACUCUUGUCCAUGUUCUCCAUUAAACUUACAAUAUUUGGUCCACGAUGCAAUGUGAACCUUCCUUACUUUGGCUUGAUUUGGGAAGGUAUGAAUCAAUAACUAAUAAAUAUAAACUAAUAAAAUAAUAAGCAUUUAAGUGCU